CGGCGCCGUCGUCCGGGGCGGCGUCGCCGUUCGGGGCGGCGUCGCCGUUCGGGGCGGCGUCGCCGUUCGGGUGCCGGGCGUCGUC
rnacentral:tRNA from 1 species